rnacentral:rRNA from 1 species
CCUACGGGAGGCUGCAGUGGGGAAUAUUGCACAAUGGGCGCAAGCCUGAUGCAGCCAUGCCGCGUGUGUGAAGAAGGCCUUCGGGUUGUAAAGCACUUUCAGCGGGGAGGAAGGCGUUAAGGUUAAUAACCUUGUCGAUUGACGUUACCCGCAGAAGAAGCACCGGCUAACUCCGUGCCAGCAGCCGCGGUAAUACGGAGGGUGCAAGCGUUAAUCGGAAUUACUGGGCGUAAAGCGCACGCAGGCGGUCUGUCAAGUCGGAUGUGAAAUCCCCGGGCUCAACCGGGGAACUGCAUUCGAAACUGGAAGGCUAGAGUGUUGUAGAGGGGGGUAGAAUUCCAGGGGUAGCGGUGAAAUGCGUAGAGAUCUGGAGGAAUACCGGUGGCGAAGGCGGCCCCCGGGACAAAGACUGACGCUCAGGUGCGAAAGCGUGGGGAGCAAACAGGAUUAGAUACCCGGGUAGUC